rnacentral:rRNA from 1 species
AUUGAACGCUGGCGGCAGGCUUAACACAUGCAAGUCGAGCGAGCGGCGGACGGGUGAGUAAUGUCUGGGAAACUGCCCGAUGGAGGGGGAUAACUACUGGAAACGGUAGCUAAUACCGCAUACCAUCGGAUGUGCCCAGAUGGGCUUAGCUAGUAGGUGGGGUAACGGCUCACCUAGGCGACGAUCCCUAGCUGGUCUGAGAGGAUGACCAGCCAUACUGGAACUGAGACACGGUCCAGACUCCUACGGGAGGCAGCAUUGGGGAAUAUUGCACAAUGGGCGCAAGCCUGAUGCAGCCAUGCCGCGUGUGUGAAGAAGGCCUUCGGGUUGUAAAGUACUUUCAGCGAGGAGGCGUUACUCGCAGAAGAAGCACCGGCUAACUCCGUGCCAGCAGCCGCGGUAAUUC